UGCACAUGCUCACAUUCACACACAGCCCCCAGACAAUGACCUCCCAGCUAGCCAUUGAUUAUCAAUAAUGAAUGUGAAACGGGGAAGAGGAGCGAGAAAGGCCUGAAGCAGGAUUAGACACAGUUUUGCUUCCAAAGCUCCUUGCUGAUUUGUCCUUCAAGGCGGCUUUGUGAAUGGAUUGCUUUCAUGAACGCCUCUCUCUUUCUGUUCUCUCAUUCCCACGUUCAGCUACUCAUCUUUGUCUUUUGAUUGAGAUGUCAUGUCCUCUGUCGGGGUGAGAGAAUGGUACUGGAUGGCAGGACUGGAUCGGCUGCAGGUAGAUGGGAACUGACAGACGGACUGAAGAGAGAUAAGUAUCCACCGUUAAAAUACAUUAGGACCAAUGGAACUGUUUUGGACAUGAAACUUUGUUCAACACAUCUGGAAGCACAAAGAACGACAUGAAGUAUUGUGCAUUGUGUCACAAUAGAUGUUUGAUUCAGUGUGUGCCAGAACAACUGGGUUAAGGACGUUCAAAACAACAAAAAUCUCUUU